GUGUCAGCAGCCGCGGUAAGACGAAACGAGCGAACGUUGUUCGGAAUCACUGGGCUUAAAGGGCGCGUAGGCGGGUGCUCAAGUCCGGGGUGAAAUCCUCCAGCUCAACUGGAGAACUGCCUCGGAUACUGUCGGCCUCGAGGGGGGUAGGGGCGAGCGGAACGCUGGGUGGAGCGGUGAAAUGCGUUGAUAUCCAGCGGAACUCCGGUGGCGAAGGCGGCUCGCUGGACCCCUUCUGACGCUGAGGCGCGAAAGCCAGGGGAGCGAACGGGAUUAGAUACCCCGGUAGUCC
rnacentral:rRNA from 1 species